GUGAGCUUGUCAGAUAUCAGUUCCUUUGCAGGGUCAGACUUAAUUGAAACGCUGAGGUGGGAUUAGGGAACCACACUAAAGAAAACUCCAAGUGAUGCAAGACGUGGUAUUUAUAAACCUGAGUCAGCAGUGAGUCAGCUCUCAAGUGGGGGUUGGGGGACUGCUCGGUUAAAGCAACAACAGUGCAGAAUUGAAGCGGAGCCCUCCUGGGGUUCUUGUUUGAUAUCCUGGGUUUUCCUCUGGAAUUACUGCGCACCUCUUCAAAAGCCUGAGGAGCAGACUCUGACCACUGCCCUCCCCCUCCCGCCCCCAAGUGCUUUUCUCCGUGUUGAAAGCAGAAAAGACAUCGACAGUAAGUUCACUUAAAAUUAAAAUUUGAUGUCUCCCUGUGACUCUUUUUGUCUUGACGCAAGGUCUCAUUAGUCCAGCCUGACCUCAAACUCACUAUGUAGCUGAGAAUGACCUCGGACUUCUGAUCACCCUGCUUUGAUUCUUGAGGGAACGAGUGCCACAAUGGGACAUUGCGCAUGUCAGAUGGACACCUUGCUAAACGAGCCACAUCCUCAGCGUAGCGCUUUGAAGAAGAAGAAAAAUGAAAGAAAGAAGAACAAUUUUUCAGUCAAGAUUUUCUGGUUCAGAUAAUCCCCGUUAGACAGACCCAGGUUUCCUACCCCAUGUCUAAGCGGAAAGCAGUAAAUCGCAGGUCUUAACCGAGCCACUUGGAACAGCUAAACGUUCAAGCUCCGCUUCGGUGCAGUAGAAUUCACUAACAUCCAGAGUGGCAGAAGGCAAAAGUAACAAAUUAUUUUAAAGAUUCGGAGGCUCGAAGCAGGAUGGAUGUGCCGAUGGAUCCUGUCUACCUGUGAUCUGAUAUCGGUGAAAUUAUAACCCCAGUUUUUCUUCCUUUCUUGGUUUUUAAAUUUGAAGGGUGCAGACGGAUUCCGGUCAAAUUUAUGACGUCUGUGAUCAUCGUUAAAUACGUACCUGAGACUCUUUCCCUUGAACUGACAUUGGAUUAAACCUGAUGAGUCUUUGCCAUGGAUCAGCCUACACACUCUCACCUGACACUCUCUGGAUGUGUAGCACUACGUGACCAACUUGGUACCUUGGUUUACUCUCUGACCUGAGGGAAAUUUUGGGAAACCGUGCUCCAAGAAAACAGUCAUCGAUAGCCCAGCAUGUAGAUAUUUCUUAGAAUGCGUUGUUGACAUGAUUAUUUCCAGAUCAUGUGCUAAUUCUUGGCGGUGGGGUCUGGCGGGGGACAAGACACACGGAGUUUGUCUAGGUCUCCCUUCAGGAACCAGAACUCCUUUAUCUUCUUGCUGCAUAGCUUUAGACAAACGGGCUCCUUCUGAGGGUCUGAACCAAGAACCAAGUGUUCUCCCUAGCGGUCCCGGGAAGGAUCUGCUCAGGUUACGCUGGAUCAUCAAUGGCUGAACAUCCCCUCUCAGGAGUCCCAGGCCUCCCUGCUUUGGCGGGUUCACCUGAUUCAUGGAGGAAGUACUGUGUGUUAGGAUCCCCAUCUUUGAAGAUAAAGAACAGCUUGGAAUCUUUGUUACUAGACUCAAUAUCUAAAGGCAUCCUUCUCCUGAGAACAGAUGGACUAAUAUAAACCUGAAUACAUGAGUAAAUCGAGCCGUAAAAUGACAUUAUGAAAGUGAUUGUCCAAAUAGCUCACUACACAAAUGAAGGUUUUUGUGUUAACUCCUGGAAAGAUUUCUGAUGGGUUUUGCUUUUUGUGUUUAGCUUUUAAGUAUUCGGUGCAACAAAUUUAUGACUGUCAUGUCCUCUUCAUGGUCAUGUCUAUGUUUCAUCACCCUCUGUUUGUCUUCCUUAAUGGACCAAUCUUCAAAGCUGUAUUGGCUCAUAAUGAAAACACUGACCCUCCUUUCCCAUCCCUUCUUUUUUAGAAAUGUAUUUUCCUGACACCCA